rnacentral:rRNA from 1 species
UAGGGAAUGUUGGACAAUGGGCGCAAGCCUGAUCCAGCCAUGCCGCGUGAGUGAAGAAGGCCCUCGGGUUGUAAAGCUCUUUUGUCCGGAAAGAAAAGCAUCGGGUUAAUACCCCGGUGUUCUGACGGUACCGGAAGAAUAAGCACCGGCUAACUUCGUGCCAGCAGCCGCGGUAAUACGAAGGGUGCAAGCGUUACUCGGAAUUACUGGGCGUAAAGCGUGCGUAGGUGGUUCGUUAAGUCUGAUGUGAAAGCCCUGGGCUCAACCUGGGAAUGGCAUUGGAAACUGGCGGACUGGAGUGCGGUAGAGGGUAGCGGAAUUCCCGGUGUAGCAGUGAAAUGCGUAGAGAUCGGGAGGAACAUCCGUGGCGAGGGCGGCUACCUGGACCAGCACUGACACUGAGGCACGAAAGCGUGGGGAGCAAACA